CGUUUAUGAUAAUGUCCUCUCCUCCCCUACUCCCUCCAAUCCUUUGAGUUCCACAAGGAGAGUACACUUUUGAUCUUCCACAUUACCAAAUGCUUGCUCAUUCCAAACCUUCAGAGAUUCAGAGACUUCAAUUUACAUGACAUGAUGUAACUUGGAGUGUCAUGA